GCUUUGUGGCCGCGGAACAAGGAGCCUCCCAGAGUGCGGGGCAGAGGCCUCUGUGAUGUGUGACCCUGCAGGGCAUUGGACAGGGGGUCCCGAGAGGAAGAAGCUGACUCUGCUGGGGCUGCGCCUGGACACUGGGACUUGCCAGACCCAUCUCCUUGCCCCUGCCUCUGACCCUAGAUGGGACACACUCCUGACCGGCAGGCAGCUGGCCACUGGUCCGUUGACCUGGUCGAAGGGUUCGCUGAGCCUUGAAAUCCCCCAAGAAGUAUGGAGCCCGGAAUGUUUUUUUGGUGGAGCACCCUGAAGCUCAAAGGUGAUACAGACUUGGGGGCUGGGGAGCUCUCUGGGACCAUCUGCAAGGGGAGAGUAGAAAGUGGGUACUCAGGCAGAGACCCCAAGAAAGGAGGGAGGAGAGGAGAGGGUGGCAGACACCCAGGCUACUUCAACUCCUGCCCUUCCGGAGGCCCGGAUAUCCUCACGCCGGCUUCCGCUGCAUGUAUAUACCCUUCCAACAGCUAACUCAUCAUGCUGUGUUUAUUUAUUUUAAAGUCACAUAGAAUUGAACUUUAAAAAAGAAUCUAUAGAC